rnacentral:rRNA from 1 species
GACGAACGCUGGCGGCGUGCCUAAUACAUGCAAGUAGGACGCAGUUGCGAACGGGUGAGUAACGCGUCGGUCACUCCCUAUUAGAGGGGGAUAACUAUUGGAAACGAUAGCUCAUACCGCCUCCUAGUCGAUGGACCUGCGUUGUAUUAGCUAGUAGGUAGGGUAAUGGCCUACCUAGGCAACGAUACAUCGCCGGCCUGAGAGGGGGAUCGGCCACACGGGGACUGAGACACGGCCCAGACUCCUACGGGAGGCAGCAGUAGGGAAUCUUCGGCAAUGGGGGGAAGCCUGACCGAGCAACGCCGCGGGAGUGAAGAAGGUCUUCGGGUCGUAAAGCUCUGUUGUUAAGGAAGCGGUACUUAAACAGAAAGCGACGGCUAACUACGUGCCAGCAGCCGCGGUAAUAC